GCAAGGGGGUCAUCCCGACUUACCAACCCGAUGCAAACUGCGAAUACCGGAGAAUGUUAUCACGGGAGACACACGGCGGGUGCUAACGUCCGUCGUGAAGAGGGAAACAACCCAGACCGCCAGCUAAGGUCCCAAAGUCAUGGUUAAGUGGGAAACGAUGUGGGAAGGCCCAGACAGCCAGGAUGUUGGCUUAGAAGCAGCCAUCAUUUAAAGAAAGCGUAAUAGCUCACUGGUCGAGUCGGCCUGCGCGGAAGAUGUAACGGGGCUAAACCAUGCACCGAAGCUGCGGCAGCGACACUAUGUGUUGUUGGGUAGGGGAGCGUUCUGUAAGCCUGUGAAGGUGGCCUGUGAGGGUUGCUGGAGGUAUCAGAAGUGCGAAUGCUGACAUAAGUAACGAUAAAGCGGGUGAAAAGCCCGCUCGCCGGAAGACCAAGGGUUCCUGUCCAACGUUAAUCGGGGCAGGGUGAGUCGACCCCUAAGGCGAGGCCGAAAGGCGUAGUCGAUGGGAAACAGGUUAAUAUUCCUGUACUUGGUGUUACUGCGAAGGGGGGACGGAGAAGGCUAUGUUGGCCGGGCGACGGUUGUCCCGGUUUAAGCGUGUAGGCUGGUUUUCCAGGCAAAUCCGGAAAACCAAGGCUGAGGCGUGAUGA
rnacentral:rRNA from 1 species